UUUCCGUGGGUGAACCUGCGGAAGGAUCAUUCAUAAUAAAGUGUUUUAUGGCACUUUUUAAAAAUCCAUAUCCACCUUGUGUGCAAUGUUAGAUCUCGUCAAUCUUGGCGAGAUUUUUAUACAUCAACUCAUUCUUUAACUAAUUUGUCUGAAAAAUAUUAUGAAUACUUAAUUCAAAAUACAACUUUCAACAACGGAUCUCUUGGCUCUC
rnacentral:misc_RNA from 1 species